CAGCACGUUUUCUUUAAAGAAGGGGAGGGUGUUUGGAGGCAAAACUAUAUAAUUUUUUCUUUUUUCUUUUUUUUUUUUUUUUUAAAGAAAUGUAUGUUGAUCUUCUGAAGCUGAAUCCUCAGGCAUUUGUGGCCCGUCUUUGCAGCCUGCCGCCCAUUGUUGCCGCGGGGCCGUGCGGGCGCGGGGCGAGGCCGCCUCCCGGGCCUGCCCGGCCGCGCAGAUGCGCCGCCUCGCCGGGAGCCUCCCGCCCGCCCGCCCGGGGACUGCGGAGCUGCGAGGGAACACCCAGCGCCGCAUCCACCGCCGGCCCCGCCAGGGUCCAGCUCUGGCCCUUGGAAGGGCAUCACUCGCUGCGGAGCUGGGAGCAGCCAGGUGGAGCAGACCGCUGGGAAAAGGGAGCUCGGUGUGUGACAGCAAGAUUCACCAGUGCCCCUUCCACAGCCGCAUAUCAGCCUGGAUGUGGUCACCCUGUCAGGAGUGUAAAAUUUACAGCAGAAAUUAUUUUAACACUGGAAAAGCUCUUACUCAUCUGA
rnacentral:lncRNA from 1 species